GGGCCGUUAGCUCAGCGGUAGAGCAGUGGACUUUUAAUCCAUUGGUCGAAGGUUCGAUCCCUUCACGGCCCACCA
rnacentral:tRNA from 4 species